rnacentral:lncRNA from 1 species
AUUGCAUAUUAUUGACAUAUUUGGGUUCAAUUUUUGAGUUCAAUAGCGGUAUAGAAAUUCUUGAUUCAAAAUUUUAAAUAUAUAUUUAUUUAUAUUAUAUUACAACUAUGUCAUCCUAAAAUAAAAAAAAAUAUAUAAAUGUGCAUUAAAAUAUAUCUAAACUUUUAAAGUACCAAGCACAAAAAAUUAUAUACUAACCUCA